ACUCAUUUACAUUUUAUCCUUACAUUCUAGUGACAUUCAUUAGGCUCUGCUUUUAAUGAAUAAGAGCUACAUUAUUAUAGUGUGACUAUUAAUUCUGCACAGCUU